ACACUUUUGCUGUUCAGAGACUCAACCCUCUUCAACAUGAACAAAGCUCUGUUCUGUGCUGUCUUCAUCUUGCUGGUGCUUUCUGUGUUCACAGAGGCCACGGAAGAGAAUUCUCCAAAGGCCAAGGUGAAUGGAACCAGCGUCUCUGACAAGGCAUCGGGGGCAAGCACCUUGGCACUUCCGUUGUUGCUGCAGUUGGUGCUGAUGGUUGCACCUGCCUUACUUCCAACUCUGCUGUAGCCCUUGCUAUGCUCUCCUUCCACAAGACUCUGCAGAACUUCUGCAAGAACGGGCGCAACAACAAUAACAAUAGCUUCAAUGACUAGGCMUACUAUAUUUACCGGUGCUGUAGACCCUAGCUGACCCGUUUCCMUGAUUGAACACCAUGAAAUUCUUAACCCAAAUGAUCUUGUAAUAAUCAUACAGAURCAGAAAUAAAUGUGUGUAUCUACACUCUU